rnacentral:rRNA from 1 species
CCCUACGGGGCGCAGCAGGCGCGAAACCUCCUCAAUGCACUCACGUGCGAAGGGGUUACCUCGAGUGCCGCCUGAAGAAGGCGGCUUUUCCAUGGUCUAAAAAGCCUAGGGAAUAAGAGGGGGGCAAGACUGGUGUCAGCCGCCGCGGUAACACCAGCCCCUCGAGUGGUGGGGAUGAUUAUUUGGCCUAAAGCGUCCGUAGCCGGCCGGGUAAGUCUCCCGUUAAAUCCAGCGUCUCAAGCGUUGGACUGCGGGAGAUACUGUCUGGCUAGAGAGUGGGAGAGGUGUUCGGUAUUCUGGGGGUAGGGGCGAAAUCCUUUGAUCCCCGGAGGACCACCAGUGGCGAAGGCUGUACACUAGAACACGUCUGACGGUCAGGGACGUAAGCUGGGGUAGCGAACCGGAUUAGAUACCCGGGUAGUCCCAGCUGUAAACGAUGCACGCUAGGUGUUGGGGCGGCCACGAGCCGCCCCAGUGCCGCAGGGAAGCCAUUAAGCGUGCCGCCUGGGGAGUACGGCCGCAAGGCUGAAACUUAAAGGAAUUGGCGGGGGAGCAC